rnacentral:lncRNA from 1 species
UUGGAAGAAAACUAACCAAGUACAUGUAUUUUAAUAUAGUACUGCUUUAAUUUUAUCAUUUUGUGUCUGUUUAUAUGGUUAAAUUUCAAGACAAGUGGCGUGUAAACUACUUUAGUACCCUUAAAUAACAGUAUGUUUGCAAGUACAAAACAUAAUGUGGAUUUCAACAGAAUAUUAAGCAGGCAAAGUUACUUGAAUGAAAAAGUAUAUACAUGUUAUGGAUUCAAACCCAUAGUAUAUAUAUUAUAUACAUUAUACAUAGAAACUUAAUCAAAUCAAACACAAAUAGAUCAAACAUUUAAUCCUGAUUUAAAAGAAAAGCGGCUUCAAUAUUUAAAUUCAGUAUUUUCUUCUUGAAUCCUACUUUUAUUCAAAUUUCAGAUAAUAUGAAAAAAGAAGAUGUGGUUUGAUUACCAAUGAGACAACUCUUCACAAGAGACCAAAUGACAAAGAAAUUAACUUCUUUGCUCCCCAUACGGCCUUCAACAAUGAGUAAAGUCCAAGUUGGUGUUCAACUAAACAUUUAUUCCUAAAGGAAGACUUAAAUGUUGGACAAAGUGAAGAUUAAAUGCAGCUGAAAUUGUAAAAU